AGCUGUCAGGAGGCUCGUAAACGCAGGCACACCCUGUCGACUGAACUCAAUCUCGUAAACGCUUCACGCAACCCAAGGACACGGCGGACCGCCUGUUUUCAGCUGGGCUGUUCCUGCUUCUGGAAAGUCUUCAGGCCACCUGUGCCGACCGGAUGCUGCUGGAAAUCCCCCUCUAGAGAACUUCAUGUAGUGCUGCAUGUGUGUGUGUGUGUGUGUGUUACACAUAGAAACUGUGCUGCUUGAAUCUUUGAAGCUGUUUGUCUUUAGUAGCCAAUUUUAGUGUCUCCAAAGUACACCAAUCAUGUUUAGACUGACUUGGACGAGCAAGAAACCACCUAGCAACCAAACAUCAACAAACACUCACAGCAUCCUUGCAUUACAGUGAGUUUUGCACAGUCAGUUUAUUGGUGCUCAAGCAGCAGCUUGUUUUCACCGUAAACACUAAUCAAGCAUCUGCUAAGCCGAUUUUGGCAGGCAAUGCGUAAUCCAGCGAUCGGACACACACACACACACACACACACACACACACACACAUGCGGCUGAAGGCUGAAUUAAUUACAGACUGGAGUGUGAGUCUGCUGAUCUCAGCUCAGUGUCUCAGGCCUUUAUUUAGGAUGUAAACACUAAGCUGGUAAUACUAUUAGACGAGGAUGAGAUUUACCGUCAGUGAGACUGUAAGAGAGGACCGGCGUCAUGUGUGUGUGUGUUUAUGCAUGUAAUCGAGCUCAGUUGAAGCUCUCAGUUACUCUGGCACUCAGCUUCAUCUUCAGUUCUGAUUGGCUGUGAUUGUGUUGCAUCACAAAGGUUUAGACGCACUGUAAGAGUCAGGAAGAGAGUGAGGCUGGAAAAUGGAAAUCUAAAUGAUGACAAACAUUCAUUCAUUCGGAUCAUUUCCUAGUGUCGACCUUGGCAAAUGUGCAGUAUAUUUAAUUAAUUGAUUAAAUGUAUUUCUUAAAAUGUAAUUAAUUAAAAUACAUUUUAUUUUUGUAAUGUUUAAUUUAAAUUCGUUAAUUUUGUAAUUUUUUUAUAUUUUAACAUUUUUAAAUGACAUUUUAAAACUUGAAAAUUAAAUAUUUUUUGUUUUUUAAUUUUUUUAAUUCGUACAUUUUAAAAUGUGUAAACUUUUAAUUUGUACAUUUUUAAAAUGUACAAUUUUUAUUAAAAAAUUUUGCCUUAUAAAAUGUUAUUUUGUUUUAUUUAAUUUUUCUUAGCAUUUCUAUUUUUUGUAAGACCCAUUCUAUAG
ensembl:lncRNA